UUAUUUGAGAGUUUGAUCCUGGCUCAGGACGAACGCUGGCGGCGUGCCUAAUACAUGCAAGUUGAGCGAUGAAGAUUGGUGCUUGCACCAAUUUGAAGAGCAGCGAACGGGUGAGUAACGCGUGGGGAAUCUGCCUUUGAGCGGGGGACAACAUUUGGAAACGAAUGCUAAUACCGCAUAACAACUUUAAACAUAAGUUUUAAGUUUGAAAGAUGCAAUUGCAUCACUCAAAGAUGAUCCCGCGUUGUAUUAGCUAGUUGGUGAGGUAAAGGCUCACCAAGGCGAUGAUACAUAGCCGACCUGAGAGGGUGAUCGGCCACAUUGGGACUGAGACACGGCCCAAACUCCUACGGGAGGCAGCAGUAGGGAAUCUUCGGCAAUGGACGAAAGUCUGACCGAGCAACGCCGCGUGAGUGAAGAAGGUUUUCGGAUCGUAAAACUCUGUUGGUAGAGAAGAACGUUGGUGAGAGUGGAAAGCUCAUC
rnacentral:ncRNA from 1 species